UAUUGAUCAUAUCUGUAUCACGGAUGCAUACUGACGUCCACCAGCCAAGCGCGUGUAAAUGUGUGUUGAUGUAAGUGGACUGAGUAGAGGAGUUCAUUACAAUGCAAACAAUAUUUUUUUUGAAACCUUUAGCUGCUUUAAAAUUACACCUCAGUCUUCCUUUGGAUUAUCAGGAGUGUUUUAUUUACUUUGUGAGCAUCUAAAGUGAAGUAACUGGAGUGCAAUGCAAUGUUAUCAUAAGCAAAGGGAAGAAGUGGAGGCGGGGGGAGGGGACAGUUACACGGACCAACUUUUUGGCAAAACCAAACCAGCAUACAACUGCCUCAUUCUUCCUUGGUGUGUACAAAUAUCUCUUCUAAAGUCAUCUUUAUCCCACAGGGACAGAACACCUGUAGACUCGCCGCCGUGUUCAUGUCAUUAAAAAAAAAAAGAAAAUGUUGUUGUCAUCAAUUCCUAUGAUAUAAAAGAACUUAAUGUGAUAUGAAUGAAACAGCUCAGAUAAAUUAUCUCAAUGAUUUCUCUAUAUAUUUGCAAUGUAACGACAAGGCACAGGGCUGCCCUCCGCAGGAAGCGAAUGGCCAUAACAGAAAUAAAAGGAUGCAUUCUUGAAAAAAAAUCCAAAAAACUGAAAACAAACCACAGGGACUCGUUGCGCUCUCCACGACUUACUGAGAACAAUCGUUACCCUAACAUUUUCUUUCCAACUCCGUAACUUCCUUCCUCUCUACUUUGUUUUCUCCCUUGCCUCUUUUCAUCCCCCCGCCCGCCCAAUGUCUCUCUCGGCACCUCAAAGUUAUUGAUAGUUUAAAGUUAUGGGCUAAUAAUAAGAUGGACACUGCAUGGCCAGGAGCCUAUUAUACCCAGGUAAUGGAUAGUGAGGGGAUUUUGAAUGACAUUGCCAAGAGAUUGGAUGACGGAGGAUGGAGCAAUUUAUGGCCUCCCCAAAGAGCCCCUGUUCCCCUUUUCGCUCUCGCUGACACGCGCACACGCUAUUCGCUGCUAUUUAUCUCUAGCUUGA
ensembl:lncRNA